AACGAACGCUGGCGGCGUGCCUAACACAUGCAAGUCGAACGAGAAAGGGGCUUCGGUCCUGAGUAAAGUGGCGCACGGGUGAGUAAUACGUAGGUAACCUGCCUCUAAGAUCGGGAUAACCCGUCGAAAGACGAGCUAAUACCGGAUAAGACCACAGUCCCUUCGGGGACAGGGGUCAAAGGUAGCCUCUGCAUGCAAGCUAUCACUUAGAGAUGGGCCUGCGCACCAUUAGCUAGUUGGUAGGGUAACGGCCUACCAAGGCAAAGAUGGUUAGCUGGUCUGAGAGGAUGAGCAGCCACACUGGAACUGAGAUACGGGCCAGACUCCUACGUGAGGCAGCAGUGGGGAAUUUUGGACAAUGGGCGCAAGCCUGAUCCAGCAAUGCCGCGUGCAGGAAGAAGGCCUUCGGGUUGUAAACUGCUUUUGUACGGAGCGAAAAGGCUCCCUCUAAUACAGGGGGCUCAUGACGGUACCGUAAGAAUAAGCACCGGCUAACUACGUGCCAGCCGCCGCAGUAAAAC
rnacentral:rRNA from 1 species